UACGAAGGGGGCUAGCGUUGUUCGGAAUUACUGGGCGUAAAGCGCACGUAGGCGGAUACUUAAGUCAGGGGUGAAAUCCCGGGGCUCAACCCCGGAACUGCCUUUGAUACUGGGUAUCUCGAGUCCGGAAGAGGUGAGUGGAAUUCCGAGUGUAGAGGUGAAAAUUCGUAGAUAUUCGGAGGAACACCAGUGGCGAAGGCGGCUCACUGGUCCGGUACUGACGCUGAGGUGCGAAAAGCGUGGGGGAGCAAACAGG
rnacentral:rRNA from 1 species